CCGCACUGACAUGGUCACCAGCUCUCCGUCUGUGAGGCUGGUGCCAUUCUCUCCCGGCUCACGCUUCACCUACAGAAAACGGAUAAGGAUUUCACAGGAGGAAAGAAAUCGAUUUAAAAUCUGAGGCGCUGGUCAGACCCAACCAUCUUGGAAAAUCCUCUGAUUCUGGUUCCUUGCACCUCCAGAACAGCUGACCAGGAGGGGAACCCCAGACCCAACUGAACUAUGGCCCACCACGCUACAAGUUCUGACUAUCAUCCAUUAUGUUGGUCUCAGAUUAAAUUGUCAAAUCUUAUAUACAAAUGGGACUGAACGUUUAGGCACCCAAUGUAAAACGCUAUAUUAUUGUGCAUAAAGAAGCCAAGGAAAGAUGGGAAAAUCUUCUAAAGGUAUCAGGUUAAAAGUGAGACAUUCUUGUAAUUGGUCAAAAAAUUAGUGUUUCUUCAAAUAUUACCCUUUCAAAAUAACAGAAACAAAAUAAAUGUGUGCAAAAGUUCUGCCACUCUGCAGAGGUAAGGCCCCUUUACCCACCCACCCACUCUGGGCAAGUAUCCCAGUUGUCUUCCAGUUCUUUCAGACUUCUGGGAUGUUUGUUACACACUGCUCAUUUCAAGUCUAUCCAUAGAUUUGAAGUUAUUUUGAGGUCAAGUGACUGGGAAGACCAUGGCAAACCUUCAGUUGAUGCCUUUUAAUAUAACCCAGUGUGGAUUUUAAGGUGUGUUUAGGAGUGUUAUCCAUUUAUAGAAGCGUUCCUACAGUGCUGUUUUCUGUUAUUGUUAAAGGCUAAAUGAUGGAAAUAAAGCCUAAUUUUUUUUUUACAUAUUACAAGAAUGUCUCAUCUGUAAUCUGAGGCCUUUUGAACCUUGUUCCUUGGCUUCUUUAUGCACAAUAAAUUAACAUUUUACCUGGGGUGCCCAAACUUUCUUGCUGUACAUCAGCUAAAGUUCACUUCAGUACAAGUUAGAGAAACAUUGUUGGAUUCAAAGUUUUUGC